AUUGAACGCUGGCGGCAUGCCUUACACAUGCAAGUCGAACGGCAGCACGGGUGCUUGCACCUGGUGGCGAGUGGCGAACGGGUGAGUAAUACAUCGGAACAUGUCCUGUAGUGGGGGAUAGCCCGGCGAAAGCCGGAUUAAUACCGCAUACGAUCUACGGAUGAAAGCGGGGGACCUUCGGGCCUCGCGCUAUAGGGUUGGCCGACGGCUGAUUAGCUAGUUGGUGGGGUAAAGGCCUACCAAGGCGACGAUCAGUAGCUGGUCUGUGAGGACGACCAGCCACACUGGGACUGAGACACGGCCCAGACUCCUACGGGAGGCAGCAGUGGGGAAUUUUGGACAAUGGGCGAAAGCCUGAUCCAGCAAUGCCGCGUGUGUGAAGAAGGCCUUCGGGUUGUAAAGCACUUUUGUCCGGAAAGAAAUCCUUGGCCCUAAUACGGUCGGGGGAUGACGGUACCGGAAGAAUAAGCACCGGCUAACUACGUG
rnacentral:rRNA from 1 species